GACCUCAUUUGGAGUUGCAUUCAUCCGUUGUGGUUGUUAUGGUUUCCGUUUGAGCUAACCAUCUGUGGUCUGGAAGCUAAAACCGAGUUUCACACGUUCUGCCGUUGUCCCCCAUGAGGUUGCCUUGUGGCAUGCUAUGCUGGGCGUGUGGUCGCUUCCGGUGAUCAAGGCGAUCCGACCGGCUGACCCGGUGUGGUUCCUCUUGACCUUAUGCCUGACGAAAGAAUGUUGGCACGCGCUGUUCGUCAUGCUUCUUAGUUCUCUGGCGCAUUUGGCGCUGCCGCAAUGAGGCGACACAUGAUAAGCUUCUUCCUCUCAUUGAAGGAAGGGUCUAGGCGUUUCCUUGCUAGCUAUUGGGAUUGUCUGAAGCUGAUUAAAAGUCACCCGCAUGCUGAUAUCACUAAGGGGAAGUGCUCCGUUGAUGUUGUUCCACCGUGAUGAGAUUUCAGGUGCCUGCGCCUAGAGCAAGUCCCCUGCGGGCUGGCUAUGCGCCGGAGACAAGCGAUCAGCAGGUGCAGGAAGAGGCCCAUUGAAGGGACGGGCUCAGAUGCUCCAAAGACGACUGACUUGCCCGUAGACCUCAUUUGGAGUUGCCAUUCAUCGUUUGUGGUUGUUAUGGUUUCCCUUUUAGAUUAUUUUCGGGGCACAUGAUACACUCUCAAUCACACGGCAGAGUUGUCGUAUUUUCCGUUCAAAUCACUAUCUUUUGAGAGUGUCAAAUCACACGUCAGUUUUGUCAGUAUUUCCUUAGAGCCUGUUUGGUAGCACUCAUUUCAAGAAAACAGCGUCGUUCAUUAUUUCAAGAUACUGUGGACCUUACUAAUGGUUAGGGUUGAGUUGAGCUCUCUAGACAAUCUUCUGGCCUGUUUAGAAAAAGGAAAAGAAAGAUGUGCUUUUAAAUCCCUAAAACUCGGUAAAUCAGAUCCUUAUAAAUGGUUUUACUGAUGAUGUGGCAGAUUUGAGGUGGAUUUUUUGCUGAUGAUUGGGAUUUGUUGAACCACUUUUCACCAGCAACGUGACAACAACCAUCAAAAGGAUAUAUAUUCUGUCCAGAAUACCAUCAACAUUUUGUAUGCGCCGAAUGUCGCCACAUCGAGCGUUGUCAAUUGGUCAUAGCUUCAGCUCUCAAUUGGCUUCACCAAGCUCUGUUUUCAACCAAGGGAACCGCCGACCCGCGCUUGCCCUGUAGCCAUAGUCGUGGCCCAUCUUUCCCGAGUCCCUGUCAAGCUCCACCACCGCCAUCGAGCCUGAUCCCUACUAACGUUCGUGCACUGGAUCGGCCCAAUAAAGACAUGUGGACACACACAGCGUGGGCCGUCCACCGCCGGUCCGCCAGGCCUGCAGUACGGGCCGGUCAACUACAGCGAAGGGCCGCGGCUCGCCCAGCACCAGUCGCUGAGAGAUCGAGGCGGCGGACCGGAAACUCUACCAUCGAAGCGGCGCAGCACCGGUGGCGGCGGCGGCGGCGGAGGGCACCGGCCCACGGCGCAGUCGCUGAACGACGACGCCCUCCGCUCCAUCCUUCUCCCGCCUGGGCGACCGACCACUUCGACCUCGCCCACUACUCCACCGUCUGCAAGCCAUGGUUCGACGCGCCACCCGUGUCUCCUUCAGCUCAUUUCCUGGUGCUCGAGCAGUAGCCUGUUCGUUUGUGUGCUGUCUCCUUUUUUCUGUAGCAGAGAUUACUUCUCGACUCGUGAGGGGAUUAUUAAUUUAUUUAUCGCACCCAUUUUAUUAGGAAAUAUAGAUUUGAUAUCUAAAUCAUGGAUGCACACAUCAUUCCAUGACUGAAUUACCAAUUGAUGUAUUGCUAACUCUUGUGCCAUUCUUUGUAUUUCAGUUUGGUACUGUUUCUGUUCGUGCAUUUUCCUCGCUAUCUGGCCAAUACAGUUGGAUGGGCAUUUUCCUAAUGAAAAUUCUAAUUGCCAAGUAAUUUGAUUUGUAGUGUUGAUUUCCUGUUGCGUUUACUGUUAUAGUCCCCAUCAAGAAAAGAAGUGUGUUUAGUGUUAUCAGUGAAAAGAGUUCUAAUUUGACAACUCAUCUUACUUCUCAUAUUGUAUCAUUAUCAAUUGUCUUCUUUUUUUGACCAAUAAGUGCUUCAGUAUCCAUAUUUUAUUUUUGUUAUUUCUUGUUUCAGGGCCACCUUGUGCCUUAUGAAGAGUGGUUCAGUCUUAAUUGGCAUGGAAAAUAAUUAAGAAAUCUGGGAUUCUGUCCUUCCCCUGGUCUACCAACAUGGAUUUGGCCCCUCCAUGCACAGAUGCACCUCAUUAUCCUUUGGAAGAUCUGGGCGGCCGCGGCAUGCUAUGCUAACCUUUUCCGUGAUGACAUUGUUACUACCUCAAACACCACUGUUUGUAUCAUUCAAGACCUAACCCUCUGGUUUGUUCGGUCCAAGGAACCAAACCACCAGAUAGCCGCCGGCUUGUGGCGAGCCUAUCUAACCUCCCUUGUACGAAGUUCUGCUUUGUCAUAAUUGUGGUUUCCUUGUACUAACAUUUUUCUUAAAACUAUGAUUCCCUUAGUCCAAACUUGUAGAGAACUGAGCAUGAGUGCCACCCUGUCUCUGCCUCGGUUCCUUCCAGAAGAAAUCGGCUGAAACUCCAAAAAGUUGUUAGACAACUGAAGAAUAGAAAUUAUUUCUUUCUUUCUCUUGGAGACUCGUUCAAUCAUGCGCGAUGCAUGACUGCAUGAGGGCAUUUUCAGUUUACAGGGCUUGUGCUCCUUAAUAUCAUCUUACAGAUUUAUAUUUUUGUCAUAAAAUGAAUUCAGUUUCCACGGUCUCUCCUAUUUCCAUGUUUGCUGUUAGCUGAAUAGCCAUCUACUUGCUGUAAUUGGUCACAAAUAAGAGUGCAAAGAAGGUUAGAUUAGAAGGAUGGUAUGCUAUCCAGGAUCUGCAAUAACAGUGUUGUUUAUAUCAGUGGCCAGUGGGACUAUUAUCUAUGCUUUGUGUUAUUUUGGAGGCUUGCUCCCAGAUCUGUUCUUCAUGGGGUAUCCUUGGUCAUGACAGCAUUGUACAAGAGAUUUAUUGUUUUAUUUGGUGCACCGAUAUUAUGAUGUAGAGUUGUGAGAUUGGAUUUGAAAACAUCAACAAAAGAACUUCGGAUGUUCCCAAUAAAGCAUCUUCUAUUGAUUAAGAGUUUUCGUUUUGUCGGCCAUAUCAGAAGCAUGAAGAAACACUGAUGCAGAAGCAGCGCCAUGGCUUCCUCCUUCCUCCCUUGGCAGACGGCGAGGUAGAGCUCGGAGCUCAUCCUGCCAUCGUCGUCGCUCACCGGCCGCUUCUUCCCGGCGUCCGAUCCAGAGCUGGAUGGAGUGAUGACGACUGUCCAUCGAAUACGAGAUCACUUAAUCCGGCCGACUGACUGUACUUUGCUUCAAAGGACAAACGAGAAUACGAGAUCACUUGCAGGCUGUAAAUAUAUAGGCAGGAGGCCGGGUUUUGCCCUGAUUGCAUGAGUUACCCCGGCCAAGUGAUCUAGUGAAGGGCAACGGGCAACGUGGCUUUGUUCUUACGUGCAUAUGUGCGUACAUCGCGGGGCAGCGACUAGUAGUCUGCGGUCUCUCUCUGAUCAGUUAUCAGUUUGCUACGUGAGCGAAAGUCAAGUCCGUGGUUUAUUAAACUGAGAAUUUUCAAAUACGAUUGCGACGGCAAAAGAAUUUGACA